rnacentral:misc_RNA from 1 species
UUUUCGUAGGUGAACCUGCGGAAGGAUCAUUAGUGAAUUCAAGGGUUCGGACUCUGCAAAGAGAAAGGCCCAAUUCCACUAUUUUUAAACACUUGUGCACUCGUCUUUUUUAACGCUUUUGUUAAAAAAUACCUUUUUAACCCUGUUGCAUCCUUACAAAAAGUUGAUGAACCAAACCAAGUUGAUAAACGAAAGAAAAACUUUCAGCAAUGGAUCUCUUGGCUCUCGCAUCGAUGAAGAACGCAGC